rnacentral:lncRNA from 1 species
GAGCAGCGGUGACUCCUAUGUUACCGGACAUAGGGAACUUCUCAGACAUCUGAGAUUACAUUUCAGCAGGAGUCAACCUAAGGUUUGCCCUCUACCAUCACAGAUAACUUAGUAAUAAUAGGAAAACUGUGAAAUAUCAAUUGUUUCAAAUGAACAACCCCUCCCCAGUUGGGAAUUGAUGACACCUUCAGUUUCCUCCUAUUCCAUCCCAUUUUGGUAAAAUGAACAGAUGUGCCUAUUAAAAAGUGAGUGCCUUAGAUCACUUAGUGGUAAAACCAAGCAGUAGAUGUUGCUGGCAGAAUAAAUUUCAAAAUAAUUCACCUGGGAGGUGAAAUGUGGCCUCUAUCUCCUCAUCGGUCUUCUCUUUUAUCUCCUUGGGGACCCUCCUCCAGUCCAAAUAGCCAAACUGGCUUUUGUUUUGGUGCUUUCAUAACUAUGCUUAUCCUGUUCCUUCCUGCAUAGCAUUCUCUGCCCAACAUCUCCAUUUACUAGUUGAAUUUUUUCUGACUGUUGAACUUCUCUUAUCAUACUUGUCUCAGCACAGAUGCUUAAGUUUGUCUGUAAAUACACCCUAGAUUUUCCCUAACCAGAAUGAAUUACUCUAGCUCUCUAUGAUUUGUAUCUAUAUUCAGCCUUUAGAUCAUUUGUUUUAUGCUUAGUAUUUUCCCUGGCUGACUCCUGUGUUCUGUUUAAAUCUGUUUCAGGUCAUGAGCAGUCUCUUAGUGCCCUUCAUAAGGGCAGUAUCUGUGUUUGAAAUAAGUUGAACCUUCAGCAGUUGGACUCACAUAGAGCAUUGUCUCCUCCACUGAGGUCCAUUCUGAAACAAGGAUUCUCCUUGGAACUCCAGGGACAGAACUUCCUGUAAACAUCUGGACUGUCCCCCCUGUGUGACCCAGAUGAAAAAAGAUGACCAAGGGCUUUCAGCCUCACUUAUGGGAGAGAGUGGAGUUGGGGGUAAGAGGAGUCCAAACAGAGAUUCUUAUAAUUUUCUGCAAAGAGGAAGCUUUGGAAACUGACUAAGAAUCUGUGUAAACAUAGUGAGUAAACAUGCAGACCAUUUCUCAGAACAAAAUGUGUGGACAGGGUUCCUCUGUUCUGUGGAUCCAAAGUGCCUCAUGAUGCUAAGGCAAGGUGGAUGGUGGAGACUUAGAAUGAACACAGACAUUUUCCAGGGGAAUAUUUUAACUUCCAGCCAAUCCUUUUCUUUUUAGGAUUUAACAUCAAUAUGAUCAUUUUCACUUUACAGAUGAAUGAAUUCAGGUGCAGACAUUGUGGCUCUCAGGUUUGCCCCAUGCAUCUGUGCUAAAGCCGGGGGAUGGCCCUCACCUCUCAGCAUUACCAAAUGAGCUUUCAGGCUAAUGCACUCUGAACUGGCAUCGUCUCCCAGUUGUGAGUGCUUUGAAAUAAAACAGAAGCUAUGCUACAGCUGAACAAUUCAAAUCAUUGGCAGAAAGUGUGGUAGGUAAAUGGCACUAUGAAAAAUGAAAAGCAUCUUGUUUCCUGUGAACUAAAAAUGGAUAGGUCCAAUUAUUGCCCCUUCCACACAUGAAGACUGCACAAAGUUAGUUAAUUAUAAAUAAUUCAUCCAACCAUAGAAGGGAUGAGCUAUAUGUUAUAUUACUGAGCUUUAAAAAUCUUUAUGAGUGUAGCAAGAGACACAUAUACCAACAGCUGCUAAAUUCAGAAUCCUGGGGCAGUAUCUUAUUUUAAUAUAAGGGAAGAACCACACAGUCUAUCGCUCUAGGGAUUUCCUGCUAUAUAAAAAGACCUUAAAUCUACAUGAGAUUUUACUCGUGAUUUCAAAGCACUUAAUAAAAAGCUGUUUUGUUUUGUUUUUUAAUUUGAAUAUCUUUUAACUCUACCCCCAGCCACACUAUUUACAACACAGAUAAUGCUUUCUGGACUAGAUUGCCCAAGGCAGAGGCUUCCUUUUUUCCUCCUGCCUAUUUCCUUCUUUACUUUUUUCUUUUCUUUUCUUUUCUCAUCCUUUCUUUUGUUAAAUUCUUCAACACCUAGCUCAGAGCCCAGCACUUUGUGUUGUGUGUGCAUUGACCGUUGAGCAUGAAUGAUCACCCUCACUGCCAGAAGAGUAAAAAGUCAUAAACAUCGGAGUGGGUUGCUGAGCUCUGAGCAGAAUCAGAAGCUCUAAUUCUCCCAGUGGCUCUGCGGAACUUCUGCCUACUGCACAAUCAGGAGUUGGAGCUGUGUCUUGGGGUGACUUAAUUCAAGUAAAACCUCAGACUGGGAUGUCAGCCAGCAUUCUAAGGAGAACUUCUGUAAGAAUGUUAUGUCUUAAAAUACGUAAAUUCAAGUUCUGAGCCUUAGAACAUAAGGCAAAUAGUACCUUGCCUUACAGAAGGAUAAAGUACAAGCAAUAAAACAAGCCAAGUUGCUGCCUAAAGUCCCUUGACUGAAAUCAUAUUUGUCCAUGAUCUCUUAUUUUGGUGGACCUUUAAUAACUGGGACAAGGAUAUUGAAGAACUAAUUGCUGUGCAUUCAGCAACUGACUGUGCGUGGGUCUGCAAGGCAUGCAACCCAUGCUUGUGCAGAACUUGGAAACUUGAAUCUGGGGAAGACUUAGUUUUUCAAACUCUUGCCAUAGCCCUUCCUUGAUAGGGUUUUACCUAUGAGAGCUCAGAUGCAGAUUUCUUGAGCCACUUAAUCAAGGCCAGAUGUAUACUCUAUUCAUCCACUAGCACUGUUAGGAUGAGUUUUGCCCCAGAGUUUGGGGAGAGAUAAGCAGCUGUGAUUGUACAGAAACAGACACCAAACUUAAGCUGAAAAUUUUACUGCACAAUUGGCCAGCAGUAGUAGGCCACACCAAUAAUAAAGACAAAACCACCAAUUUAAAGCAGCAGUAGAAUCUGGGAAAUGCUCUUUCUGCAAUUGCUUUGAAUACAAAACAUCUCAGAAUUACAGGGAUUUUGCCUGCAGAGUUGCUAAUGAAGAUGUGGCUGGCAGUGUCCCUCGAGUUUGUUUAUCCAGCUGUACAAGAGUCUGUAUGACAGUAACUGGAUUUAUAAAAAUUUAAAAAUACCAAAGCCAACUUCUGAAGAAAGAAGUUUCCCCUAAGUCCACUAAAACCUUGUAUUUAUAAAUGAGAAGCUUUAUUGCUACCACAUCUGCUUAUGUAUAGGUGUGCUUUUACUUGAAAGAAAAUUGUAGACAAGGUGAAACUUAAAAGGGGAGAACAAGAUGGGCCCUUCUUCUUCCUCCCCCUCCCUGUACCAGAGGUCAACUAUGGGGUGGGGGAUAAUUUUGCCCCUCAGGGGACAUUUGGCAGGGUCUGUAAUUUUGAUUUUGAUUGUUACAUUGUGGGAUGAGGAACUGCUGGCAUCUAGAGGCCUGGAACACUCUUGAGCAUCCUAGACUGCACUAGACUGCACUAGACUGCCCCUAACCCCAAACAAAGAAUUUCCAGCCCAGAAUGUCAGUACUACAUUCUGCCCUAGCCCACUGACUCCAAAAAUUGAGUAUGUGCAAAUUGUUGGUAGUUGUUUAAAUCAGAUCUUGAAUUCUCCCCUGGUUUUUCAAUCAGCUUUUGGCCAUUAGUUCCAGAGACAGCUGUUACCAGAUUUGUUCACACAGGGCCUUCUGUUUAGCAGAUCUUGGGUCAUUUAUCUUCCCUUGACCAAAGACACCACUAAACCUAGCUAUUUCACCUCAAAUGAAAGCCUAGGCUAGGUUUCCAGGUACAACUGGCAAUAAAUCAAUGACUACAAAACAGUAAGGGGAAAAUGUGACUUUAGGGUUAUCAGAAAUCCCCUGCCAAUGUUAAAAAAAUCAUAACCCUUCACAAACACACAAACCCCUCAAACGUUUUUUUUAAUUAGCUGAGUUUUUUUCCCUUUAGGACAAUGUUUUUCAAAUUAAAAUCCUGAACCCUCCAGUAUCAGAAAGACCAAGGUGUUAUUAAAAAUGUCAGUUUCUCAAAUCUGUCCGAACCCUCUGGAUUGAGAAUUCUCGAGUGUAUGAAUUUGGUAAUCUCCGCCUUUAAAAUGCACCUGAGGUACACACCAAAUUUUGAGUUACUGUUCUAAGGCAAGGAUUCUCAUUCUUUUCUUCCCUACACAACUGUGUGUGUGACUUUGGGGGUCUCUUUGGAUGUGUACCCAAAACAUCCCCAGGCUGACAGGAGCACAGAGACCAACGGGAUAGAAGUUGGUGUUGUAGAAUAACCCAGAGACAUGUGGGUAACUAUUUCACAGCUAGUUUAAUUAUUUUAUAUGCUAAUUGUUUAUUCACACCUGAGAGGGUGAGGCAAAUAGUAUUUCUAAAACAAAAAGGAAAGAAAAGACAAUCUAGUAACGGUGGAACUUGUAUUACAUGUUUUGGGGGCAAAUUGAUUUAAGUGAAAGGUAGCAGAGAAGUUUGUACUGGGGCCUUGAGUGGCCAACUGCAAUUCUUUAUGGAUUCCCCAGAAAGCAGCUGGGAGCUGGGAGCAGAUGUGACAGGCCAUCCCUAUGUGGUGUCAGCCAGUGACCUCCCCCAGGGCUGUCACCUUAGGUUUAGCCUGCACCAUGUCCUCACUGAAAAGCUGCUAGGAGGUAGGGUCCCUCUUUCCAUCUAUCUAAGGCCAGGAGUCAUCUCUUUGCUUCUGAGCACUUGCUUCAUUUUUGUCUUUUCUGAGGAUCAGCUUUAUCAGAUCCUUCAUGGGGACAUGACUAACCAUGGCUGCUCUUCAGCUCAAGUUUAUAUCAUCUUGAUUCUACCAGUGGGCAGGAAUAAUUUUUUGAACUCCACAUUCAAAGUCUCAGGAGACAAAGAUGAUUGCACAGCACGGCUAGGGUUCCAUCGCAACUCGCACAGUGAUGGAAAGCCGUUCAGGGUCAAGUCGAUCGAACAUAGCUUAGGGGCUGACGUGUGGGUUUAAGAUAUCAGUCAUCAUAAGAGAACAGAACUGGCUCACAUCUAAAAAGUAUCUGCUAGAAAAUGACCCACCAGGGAGUUCCUGUUGUGGCGCAGCAGAAAUGAAUCCAACUAAUAACCAUGGGGAUGUGUGUUCGAUCCCUGGCCUUGCUCAGUGGGUGUGAGUCGCAGAUGCAGUUGAGAUCCCACGUUGCUGUGGCUAUGGUCUAGGCCAGCAGCUGUAGCUCUGAUUUGACCCCAGCCUGGGAUCUUCUAUGUGCCACAGGUGCAGCCCUAAAAACC